rnacentral:rRNA from 1 species
AAUUUACCCCAAACUCAGGGAUAGCCCACUGAAAAGUGGAUUAAUACCGGAUAGUCUCUGCCUUGUGUAGAGUAAAGAUUUUAUCGGUUUGGGAGAAGCCUGCGUUCUAUCACCUUGUUGGUGAGGUAAUGGCUCACCAAGGCUAUGACGGAUAGCUGGUCUGAGAGGAUGAACAGCCACAAUGGGACUGAGACACGGCCCAUACUCCUACGGGAGGCAGCAGUAAAGAAUCUUUCGCAAUGGGGGAAACC